CUUCCAUAUGCCGCAGGUGCAGCCUUAAAUGAGAAAAAAAUUCUCACAUCUUCAUCUCUUGAGUUCUAUUUCUAACUGUAUGGUGAAUAUUUUUUUUAAUAUCUCAGGUCAGUAACUCAAGUCUCAGCUGGGUGAUCAUGUUCUCCAGUUCUUAUAGGAAGUUCAUUAGUUGAGUAAUCACACAAAAAAAAGCUCUAGAAGAGCGUUAAAAAUAACUUUAAAGCUCUUCUCCAGCUUUUAUGUGUGUGUGUAUAUAUAUGUGUGGGUAUAUAUGUAUAUAUGUACAUAUAUAUACACAUAUGUGUUAUAUUGCACUCUUCUUAUUUGAUAUAUGUGUAUGUAUUUGUUAUAUACAUAUACAUGCAUAUUUAUAUAUUGCACUGUUUUUAUUUGAUUUUACUAUUUCUUUUACAUUUGCCAAACGUUUAUAUUUAUUUUCAUUUUCAGUUUUUUUUUUAAUUUAAGGUAUCUGGUUUACCAUGAAUAUUAAUUUCAUUGCUGGUAUAAUGAUACAAUCAUUUUUCUUUCACAUAUGUUAUUGUUCAUUUGUUUUAUGAACAAUUUCCUUUUCUUCUGAAGUUACAUAUUAUUUUUACAUGUGUAUUAAUCUCUCCAGAUUCCUCUACUUUUGUACUACUGCCACACUAUAUUAAUUAUUCUUGUUUUAUAGCGUAUCAAAUAAGUAAUAAUGUAUGUUCCUUAGUGUCUUCUCUAUGCACACUAAUACACUCUUGAAAUGUCCUUGAAUAGUCAUGCAUAUUUUUAUGUUUAAAUUUACUUUUCAAAGAAGCUUCUUUAGAUUUCUGAUUGUCAUUAUGCCAAAUCCACAUGUAAUUAUAAGACAUGUGAUCAUCUUUUUAUCUUAUUUCUCUACAGGAAGAAGAUCACAUUAUUUCCAGCCUCAAAGAGCACCUCCUAGAUUGCUCUUCAAGAAACCCUGCUAUGAAGAGUAUACCUGGCUGAUACACCUUGGAUCUGCCACAGCUUCCACACUAAAGUCACAGUCUCCCCUGGUUACUUCAAGGCAAAGACUAGAUAUGGAAAUGUGAUUAGUGCAGGCAUUUCUUCCUGACAUAGAACACCUCUAAUGGAAACUCUUGAAUCUGGCCUCCCUUUGGCCCCGCCAAGAAUUUCUCAGAGCUACGUGAAAAGGUAAGGCCCUCCUUCCUGUCAUUUCCUUUCUCUUUCACAGGUAUCAGAAUUGGAUUACACCUCUACAACUCUCUCCUCUUAUCCCCUUACCCACUCAUCUAUCACAAGUAUAAUCUCCAAUAAAUCUAUUGCUGGCUAAUGGAGGUAUACA
rnacentral:lncRNA from 1 species